rnacentral:rRNA from 1 species
AAAGCUUGCUUUCUUUGCUGGCGACCGGCGCACGGGUGAGUAACACGUAUCCAACCUGCCCUUUACUCGGGGAUAGCCUUUCGAAAGAAAGAUUAAUACCCGAUAGCAUAAUGAUUCCGCAUGGUUUCAUUAUUAAAGGAUUCCGGUAAAGGAUGGGGAUGCGUUCCAUUAGGUUGUUGGUGAGGUAACGGCUCACCAAGCCUUCGAUGGAUAGGGGUUCUGAGAGGAAGGUCCCCCACAUUGGAACUGAGACACGGUCCAAACUCCUACGGGAGGCAGCAGUGAGGAAUAUUGGUCAAUGGGCGCUAGCCUGAACCAGCCAAGUAGCGUGAAGGAUGAAGGCUCUAUGGGUCGUAAACUUCUUUUAUAUAAGAAUAAAGUGCAGUAUGUAUACUGUUUUGUAUGUAUUAUAUGAAUAAGGAUCGGCUAACUCCGUGCCAGCAGCCGCGGUAAUACGGAGGAUCCGAGCGUUAUCCGGAUUUAUUGGGUUUAAAGGGAGCGUAGGUGGACUGGUAAGUCAGUUGUGAAAGUUUGCGGCUCAACCGUAAAAUUGCAGUUGAUACUGUCAGUCUUGAGUACAGUAGAGGUGGGCGGAAUUCGUGGUGUAGCGGUGAAAUGCUUAGAUAUCACGAAGAACUCCGAUUGCGAAGGC